GCCAUCAGGUCAACCCGGUGAGCCUGGAGGGGUGGUGGAUGAAGAUGGUGGAGAUGGAGGUGAUGGAUCCAAGUGGUUGGAGAUGAGUGGAGAUGGAAGGAGGUGAUGGAGAUGGAUGGAGAUGGGUGGACGUGAUGAGAAGCACUGAUGGAGAUCGUGGAUGGAGGUUGGAGGCCGAUGGGUGGAGGUGACGGAUGGAGAUGGAGAUGGAUGGAGAUGGUCUCCACCAUCUCCUCCUAGAGUUCCUCCUGCCAGAAGACCUCUGCCACGCCGACCCCGAGAGGUUGGGCGCCUGGGACACCAUCGCCGUCUUCAUCACCCUCUUCCUCCUCAGCGUCUGCUACAGCGCCACCGUCACCCUCUUCAAGGUCAAGUGGAUCCUCUCCAGCAUCAUCCACCUCAAGCGCAGCCGAGUUCCCGACUACAGGAACGUCAUCCAACGCGGCGUCUAAGGGCGCCGUGACCUUGGUGGAGACCUUGGGUUGACUCCACGUCGAUGUGGAUGAUGGUGGUAUCUCCAGGGGCUUCACCCCGCGUCCUUUUGGAGCUCCCCCUGUGGCCCUUUUAUGUUCCCUUAGGUCGUGGUGGCAUCUCCGGAGGCUUCACCCCACGUCCUUUCGGACCUCGUCUUGACCUCGGCGGCGCUACGAAUUGGCGGUGGCCUCUCCCUAAGCUCAAAAUAGCACCGAGGGCGGAAGGGGUUGGGUGGAGGCCCCCGGGUAAGGGUGGGGUGGGUGGAGGUCACGGAUGUGGGGUGAGGUGGCCACCAAGUCGACGUGGUUGGCCACCAAGUCAAGGCACUCGGCCACCAGGUCUACCCAGGAUAUAGAUACCAGGUCUACCCAGGCUCUGGCUGCCAGGUCUACCCAGGUAUGUCAAAGGCCUGGCCAGGAGGAAUGAGCCAUCAGGUCUACCCAAGCUAACAGCUAUCAGG